rnacentral:rRNA from 1 species
CCUACGGGUGGCAGCAGUGGGGAAUAUUGGUCAAUGGACGAGAGUCUGAACCAGCCACGUAGCGUGAAGGAUGACUGCCCUAUGGGUUGUAAACUUCUUUUAUAUGGGAGUAAAAUGUUCCACGUGUGGGAUUUUGUAUGUACCAUAUGAAUCCGGAUCGGCUAACUCCGUGCCAGCAGCCGCGGUAAUACGGAGGAGCCGAGCGUUAUCCGGAUUUAUUGGGUUGAAAGGGAGCGUAGGGGGAUUGUUAAGUCAGUUGUGAAAUUUUGCGGCUCAACCGUAAAAUUGCAGUUGAAACUGGCAGUCUUGAGUACAGUAGAGGUGGGCGGAAUUCGUGGUGUAGCGGUGAAAUGCGUAGAUAUCACGAAGAACUCCGAUUGCGAAGGCAGCUCACUGGACUGCAACUGACACUGAGGCUCGAAAGUGUGGGGAGCAAACAGGAUUAGAUACCCGGGUAGUC